rnacentral:tRNA from 1 species
GCCGAAGUAGCACAAAGGUGGUGUGCCUCCUUGGUAAGGAGGAGGGUGCGGGUUCAAGUCCCGCCUUCGGCU